rnacentral:rRNA from 1 species
UUAAGUAGGUAAGGGCGCAUGGUGGAUGCCUCGGCAUGGGCAGGCGAUGAAGGGCGUGGCAAGCUGCGAUAAGCCGCGGGGAGCCGCAAGCAGGCUGUGAUCCGCGGAUUCCCGAAUGGGGCAACCCGGCCGGUCGAAGACCGGUCAUCCACGGGCUGAAUCCAUAGGCCCGUGGAGGCGAACCCGGGGAACUGAAACAUCUCAGUACCCGGAGGAAAAGAAAGCAACCGCGAUUCCCUGAGUAGUGGCGAGCGAAAGGGGAACAGCCCAAACCGGCGUCGUUUCGGCGGCGCCGGGGUUGUAGGGCCCGCCAUAUGGGAUCGGAAGGUGAAGUCGAAGCGUGCUGGAAAGCCGCGCCAUAGAGGGUGAUAGCCCCGUAGGCGUAAGCCGACCGAUCUCGGCGGUGUCCCUGAGUACCACGGGACCGGUGGAAUCCUGUGGGAAGCUGCCAGCACCAUCUGGCAAGGCUAAAUACUCGCCCAUGACCGAUAGCGCACUAGUACCGUGAGGGAAAGGUGAAAAGAACGCCUAGUAGGCGAGUGAAAAGGACCUGAAACCAUGCGCCUACAACCAGUCGGAGCCUCUUGUCGGACUUUGGUCCGGCAAUGGGGUGACGGCGUGCCUUUUGCAGAAUGAGCCUACGAGUUGCUCCUCUCUGGCAAGGCUAAGUGCCUCAGGCACGGAGCCGCAGCGAAAGCGAGUCCGAACAGGGCGCCAGAGUCAGAGGGGGCAGACGCGAAACCGGGUGAGCUACCCUUGGCCAGGUUGAAGCGUGGGUAAGACCACGUGGAGGACCGAACCGGUUGGCGUUGAAAAGCCAUCGGAUGAGCUGAGGGUAGGGGUGAAAGGCCAACCAAACCCGGAGAUAGCUCGUACUCCCCGAAAUGCAUAGAGGUGCAGCGUCGCAGCCGAGUGUGCGGGAGGUAGAGCACUGGUUGGGCUAGGGCCCUUCACCGGGUACCAAACCCAGUCAAACUCCGAAUGCCCGCACAUGCUCUGCGGCAGUGAGGGCAUGGGCGAUAAGGUCCAUGUCCGAGAGGGGGACAACCCAGGCCGACAGCUAAGGCCCCCAAGUCCAGGCUAAGUUGGGCAAAGGAGGUCGGGCUGCUAAGACAACCAGGAGGUUGGCUUAGAAGCAGCCAUUCCUUUAAAGAGUGCGUAACAGCUCACUGGUCGAGCGGCCCGGCGCCGAAAAUUGUCGGGCAUCAAGCCUGGCGCCGAAGCUUCGGGUUUGCAGCCUUCGGGCUGCAAGCGGUAGGGGAGCAUUCCAGUUGCGCUGAAGUCGCCUCGUGAGGGGCGGUGGAGCGACUGGAAAAGAAAAUGUAGGCAUGAGUAACGAGAAGACGGGUGAAAAACCCGUCCGCCGUAAGCCCAAGGGUUCCUGCUCAACGCUAAUCGGAGCAGGGUUAGCCGGGUCCUAAGCCGAGGCCGAAAGGCGUAGGCGAUGGGAAACGGGUUAAUAUUCCCGUGCCACCCGAAGGCGCUAACCUGAGGCGUGACGCAGGAGCGUAAGGCCCGCGCCCUGACGGAAUAGGGCGUUGAAGCCCGUAGGCUGGGUGGUAGGCAAAUCCGCCACCCGCUAAGGCCGAAAGGCGACAGUAGGGGGACCCGCAAGGGAAACCCAUAGAGGCCCCAAGCACACUGCCAAGAAAAGCGUCGCAGGUUGUCUUCGGGUGCCCGUACCGGAAACCGACACAGGUGGGCGAGGCGAGUAUCCUCAGGCGCUCGAGUGAUCCGUGGCUAAGGAACUCGGCAAAUUGGCCCCGUAACUUCGGGAGAAGGGGCGCCUCCUCCCAUCCAAAAGCGGGAGGGGGCCGCAGUGACCAGGCCCAGGCGACUGUUUAACAAAAACACAGCUCUCUGCGAACUCGUAAGAGGACGUAUAGGGAGUGACACCUGCCCGGUGCCGGAAGGUUAAGGAAGGGGGUUAUCUCGGCCUCGCGCCGGGAGAAGCUCCCGACCGAAGCCCCGGUAAACGGCGGCCGUAACUAUAACGGUCCUAAGGUAGCAUCCGCUGCCUGCCCACAGGGUAACCUGUGGGGCAAGCCCGGCUGUAUGCGGGAACGCCCUGAGAGCCACUUCUACGUCUCCCGCCCAAGGGCGGGCGUAAAAAUGAAGUGGAUUGGGUAACCCGCAGGAAACCCCGCCGCAAGCGGGGGAUCCUCAGAGGCCAUACGCCGGGUAUCCAGUACCAGUCGGGCCUGAAAUAAAACCAAACCAAUACUUUCAUGCAGCUCACUGCCGAUUGGGUGGUCGGCUUUGUCGACGGCGAAGGUUGUUUUCACGUCGGCCUCGUCGAACACCCGGAUAUGAGCACCGGCUAUCAGGUGCUUCCGGAGUUCACGGUGGUCCAGCAUGAGCGCGACAUCCAGGUGCUGUAUGCGCUCAAGCGGUUCUUCGGCUUCGGGGUGGUUCGGAAAAAUCACGCAGAUCGCUAUGCCUACCGGGUGCGGAAACUGGAGCACCUGGAGCAGCUCUGCGAGUUCUUUCUGAAACACCCGCUGAAGACCCGCAAGAACGUGGACUUCCGGAAAUUCCGACGCGUUGUGCUGAUGAUGAAAGAAGGUCGCCACCUGACGCGGGAAGGCCUGGCCGAAAUCAUCGAUCUUGCAAGUUCGAUGAAUACCGGCGACCGACCGCGUCUGGAAGCGAUCAAGGCCCAGCUGGCUGCUGGAUAAAGAGAUGGUCCACCCCCGCUGGAAACAGUGGGAUCAGGGUGAGCGAAAUUCCUUGUCGGGUAAGUUCCGACCUGCACGAAUGGUGUAACGACCUGGGCACUGUCUCGGCCACGGGCUCGGUGAAAUUGUGGUGCCAGUGAAGACGCUGGCUACCCGCCGCGGGACGGAAAGACCCC